CAAAUGAACCACUCUGAGGUUGAGUCUUUGCUAGUUUACUGGUAUUGAUUCCUUCAGAGUAACAACACACUGUGCACCGUUAAUGUUUUUUGGGAGAGCGUGGAUAAGUUAACUCUGGUCCUGCUCCCUGCUUAUCAACAAACCUAUUAAAUAACUCUGAAUAUUUCAAACGAAAUAAAAUA
rnacentral:misc_RNA from 1 species